rnacentral:rRNA from 1 species
UACGGGAGGCAGCAGUGGGGAAUAUUGCACAAUGGGCGCAAGCCUGAUGCAGCCAUGCCGCGUGUAUGAAGAGGGCCUUCGGGUUGUAAAGUACUUUCAGUCGUGAGGAAGGUGUUAAGGUUAAUAACCUUAGCAAUUGACGUUAGCGACAGAAGAAGCACCGGCUAACUCCGUGCCAGCAGCCGCGGUAAUACGGAGGGUGCGAGCGUUAAUCGGAAUUACUGGGCGUAAAGGGCACGCAGGCGGUUAAUUAAGUUGGAUGUGAAAUCCCCGGGCUUAACCUGGGAAUGGCAUUCAAGACUGGUUAGCUAGAGUCUUGUAGAGGGGGUAGAAUUCCAUGUGUAGCGGUGAAAUGCGUAGAGAUGUGGAGGAAUACCGGGUGGCGAAGGCGGCCCCUGGGACAAAGACUGACGCUCAUGUGCGAAAGCGUGGGGAGCAAACAGGGAUUAGAUACC